rnacentral:lncRNA from 1 species
CACUAAAGCGCAAGGUCAACUUUAAAAAAUGCAUAAGAUGUCCGUAACUUUUUGAUCGAAACUAAGCAGACUGUCCGUAACUUUAUUUUUAGAUGUGGGUAAGUUUUGAUUUAAAAUUUUAAGAAUUAUAAUUUCAACAAUUAGAAGACAAUUAACAUCAUAUUUGUAACCUUCGCGGCCGUUUAUACUACUCAUUCACCACCAAAUGUGAUUUUAUUAACGCAUCAUACUUACACCACAGAAGUUUUAUGUGGGGUUUGUGGUACUCCAUCCUGGUUAUGGUUUGAACUUUUAUUUACUGAUGUGCGUCUUAUCGACGUUUUUCACUCGUCAGACCAAGGCUUUUCCAUACUCUUUAAUGUUUUGAGUUUAAUUAUAUGUUUGCGGUUUACCUUCACCUCUGUUUCUUUCUAUGUGUAUUUUGAUGAAUACUCUUUGACGCGGCUCGGUAUUUAUACAUCCCACCAGUUAGUUAUAGUGUUAUGAUUUUUUGAAUAUGUUUCCUAGUAUGUUUUUUUUCUCUCUUUGUAUGUUAUCAGGGGUUGUUAGACUAUUAAAUUACCCUGUUGUCCUACGUAGUUAUUUAUAUUUUUAUAUACUAUGUCGAAUUGUUACACUAUGUUGACUGCUCUUUUCCUUUUAUUCACAACGGUCACUGACUUUUACCUAUUGUGUCUUUUAGUUUUAUUCAGUUUAAUGAGAUUUAAUGCAACUUGCAUACAAAUGAAAUAUGCAGCUAGCUGUAAAACUAGGUUUAUUCAUUUAUACAAAAUGUCCUUUUUUAAAGUUUUCCCAUUUACUGUAAACCUUGGCCAGGGUGCCGCAAUAUCACCGUGCGCAACGUCCCAGUGUGUCCAGAUUGACACCCCCUUUAUUUUACUGUCAAUGCUGAUGGGAUUUGUUUUUGUGGGGAUGAGAGAAAAGUGUUUUAAGCUUUUUCAAAAAGACGGAAAAAAGUUU